AUUGAACGCUGGCGGCAGGCCUAACACAUGCAAGUCGAACGAGUGGCGGACGGGUGAGUAAUGUCUGGGAAACUGCCUGAUGGAGGGGGAUAACUACUGGAAACGGUAGCUAAUACCGCAUACCAUCAGAUGUUCCCAGAUGGGAUUAUCUAGUAGGUGGGGUAAUGGCUCACCUAGGCGCCGAUCCCUAGCUGGUCUGCGAGGAUGACCGGCCACACGGGAACUGAGACACGGUCCAGACUCCUACGGGAGGCAGAAGUGGGGAAUAUGGCACAAUGGGCGAAAGCCUGAUACAGCCAUGCCGCGUGUGUGAAGAAGGCCUUCGGGUUGUAAAGCACUUUCAGCGAGGAGGCGGUACUUGCAGAAGAAGCACCGGCUAACUCCGUGCCAGCAGCCGCGGUAAUUC
rnacentral:rRNA from 1 species